AUUGAACGCUGGCGGCAGGCCUAACACAUGCAAGUCGAACGGUAACAGGAAGAAGCUUGCUUCUUUGCUGACGAGUGGCGGACGGGUGAGUAAUGUCUGGGAAACUGCCUGAUGGAGGGGGAUAACUACUGGAAACGGUAGCUAAUACCGCAUAACGUCGCAAGACCAAAGAGGGGGACCUUCGGGCCUCUUGCCAUCGGAUGUGCCCAGAUGGGAUUAGCUAGUAGGUGGGGUAACGGCUCACCUAGGCGACGAUCCCUAGCUGGUCUGAGAGGAUGACCAGCCACACUGGAACUGAGACACGGUCCAGACUCCUACGGGAGGCAGCAGUGGGGAAUAUUGCACAAAGGGCGCAAGCCUGAUGCAGCCAUGCCGCGUGUAUGAAGAAGGCCUUCGGGUUGUAAAGUACUUUCAGCGGGGGGGAAGGGAGUAAAGUUAAUACCUUUGCUCAUUGACGUUACCCGCAGAAGAAGCACCGGCUAACUCCGUG
rnacentral:rRNA from 1 species